rnacentral:snRNA from 1 species
AAGUGGUACAGCUCUUAGAAUUUUCUAGUAGGUUUUCUGGUUUUUACAAGAAAACCCCU